GGACAAAACAUUUACAGUAUCAGUAUUUUUGUACCCACACAUAUACAUAAAGUGCUAAUGGUGCAAUUUGCUUGUACACAACAUGGCUAAAAAGGAGAAAACAAAUGCCUGUCCGGCCCCCAUAUCUACAUGUGCUGGUGCGUUGAGCUAUAGGAAUUUCACUUUCCUGCACACAAUAUUAUUUUUGGUCAAGUGGCCUAAAAUGAAUACAGG